rnacentral:rRNA from 1 species
GACGAACGCUGGCGGCGUGGAUUAGGCAUGCAAGUCGAACGGUAUCAUCCUUUCGGGGGUGAGAGAGUGGCGAACUGGUGAGUAACACGUAGGUUAUCUACCCUCAAGACGGGGACAACCCAGGGAAACUUGGGCUAGUACCGGAUGUGAGCAACUUUUAGUUGUUUGAAAGGUGGCGUAAGCUGUCGCUUGGGGAUGAGCCUGCGUCCUAUUAGUUAGUUGGUGAGGUAACGGCUCACCUAGGCAAUGAUAGGUAGGCGGCCUUAACGGGUGGUCGCCCACACUGGGAUUGAGAUACGGCCCAGACUCCUACGGGAGGCAGCAGUCGAGAAUAGUCUACAAUGGUCGGAAGACUGAUAGUGCGACGCCGCGUGAACGAUGAAUCCCUUCGGGGUGUAAAGUUCUUUUAUAUGUGAGCAGUGCUUCUUAUAUUAAACAGUAUGGGGAGAGAGAUAUUAGCAUAUGAAUAAGCAACGGCUAACUCCGUGCCAGCAGCCGCGGU